rnacentral:rRNA from 1 species
UACGUAGGGGGCAAGCGUUGUCCGGAAUCAUUGGGCGUAAAGAGCGCGUAGGCGGCCCAGUAAGUCCGCUCUGAAAGUCAGGGGCUCAACCCCUGAAUGCGGGUGGAUACUGCUGGGCUAGAGUCCGGAAGAGGCGAGUGGAAUUCCUGGUGUAGCGGUGAAAUGCGCAGAUAUCAGGAGGAACACCGAUGGCGAAGGCAGCUCGCUGGGACGGUACUGACGCUGAGGCGCGAAGACGUGGGAGCAAACAGG